AUUGAACGCUGGCGGAAUGCUUUACACAUGCAAGUCGAACGGCAGCACGGACUUCGGCCUGGUGGCGAGUGGCGAACGGGUGAGUAAUACAUCGGAACGUACCCAGUAGUGGGGGAUAGCCCGGCGAAAGCCGGAUUAAUACCGCAUAUGCCCUGAGGGGGAAAGCGGGGGACCGAAAGGCCUCGCGCUAUUGGAGCGGCCGAUGGCUGAUUAGCUAGUUGGUGGGGUAAAGGCCUACCAAGGCGACGAUCAGUAGCUGGUCUGAGAGGACGACCAGCCACACUGGGACUGAGACACGGCCCAGACUCCUACGGGAGGCAGCAGUGGGGAAUUUUGGACAAUGGGCGAAAGCCUGAUCCAGCAAUGCCGCGUGUGCGAAGAAGGCCUUCGGGUUGUAAAGCACUUUUGUUUGGAAAGAAAAGGUUUGGGUUAAUACCCUGGACUGAUGACGGUACCAAUCGAAUAAGCACCGGCUAACUACGUGCCAGCCGCCGCAGUAA
rnacentral:rRNA from 1 species